rnacentral:rRNA from 1 species
GUGCCAGCAGCCGCGGUAAUACGUAGGUGGCAAGCGUUGUCCGGAUUUAUUGGGCGUAAAGCGAGCGCAGGCGGUUCCUUAAGUCUGAUGUGAAAGCCCCCGGCUCAACCGGGGAAGGUCAUUGGAAACUGGGGAACUUGAGUGCAGAAGAGGAGAGUGGAAUUCCAUGUGUAGCGGUGAAAUGCGUAGAUAUAUGGAGGAACACCAGUGGCGAAGGCGACUCUCUGGUCUGUAACUGACGCUGAGGCUCGAAAGCGUGGGGAGCAAACAGGAUUAGAUACCCUGGUAGUCC